rnacentral:lncRNA from 1 species
GUUUAUGUUACAUAUGGAUAGUGAGGCAGUUUCUUUUAUACUUGAGGUAGACUCAUUAAUAAUAUCUGAACUAGGACCUGGAUUAGUUUCAAUAUUUCCAAUAAUUAGGAUGAAAUUUAAAACAUAUAGCAGGAAAACAAUAUUUAUAUUCGGAUUUAAGCUCUGGAGUAGUGACAGAGAGACGACGAGAAACGAACAUCUGAAAUUGGUAAGUAAUAUUUCUAUUAUAGAGCUAUCAAUUGUUUGUGAGUUUAAACUACCGAGACCAAAUGUGCAACUACAUAAGUUAAAUAACCCGAUAGCUGCCCUAUACUGUUCUAUACAAUUACCCAUUGGGUUUUAACAUGGAAAUCAUACUACGUAGAAUCAGGCAGCAAAACGAGAUAUAUACACCACCACACACAUCAUCACACUUAACUGAUGAAAAGUCCAAAAAAGACGAAAAAAAUAAAAAAUAUAUAAAACAAAACAAACAAGGUUUGAAAUAUGAGAGAAAUCAUUUGUAAUUGAAAUGGGAAAUGAUUAGAUAUUUUGAAUACUUGAAAC